rnacentral:rRNA from 1 species
AUUGAACGCUGGCGGCAGGCUUAACACAUGCAAGUCGAGCGGUAACAGAGAGAAGCUUGCUUCUCUGCUGACGAGCGGCGGACGGGUGAGAAAUGCCUAGGAAUCUGCCUAGUAGUGGGGGAUAACUUGCCGAAAGGUAAGCUAAUACAGCAUACGUCCUACGGGAGAAAGGAGGGGACCUUCGGGCCUUUCGCUAUUAGAUGAGCCUAGGUCGGAUUAGUUAGUUGGUGGGGUAAUGGCUCACCAAGACCGCGAUCCGUAACUGGUCUGAGAGGAUGAUCAGUCACACUGGAACUGAGACACGGUCCAGACUCCUACGGGAGGCGGCAGUGGGGAAUAUUGGACAAUGGGGGGAACCCUGAUCCAGCCAUGCCGCGUGUGUGAAGAAGGUCUUAGGAUUGUAAAGCACUUUAAGUUGGGAGGAAGAGCAGUUAACUAAUAUUUGACUGUUUUGACGUUACCGACAGAAUAAGCACCGGCUAACUUCGUG